UGGGGAAUAUUGCGCAAUGGGCUAAAGCCUGACGCAGCGACGCCGCGUGGGUGAUGAAGUUCUUCGGAACGUAAAACCCUGUCAGGAGGGACGAAGAUCUGACGGUACCUCCAAAGGAAGCCCCGGCUAACUACGUGCCAGCAGCCGCGGUAAUACGGGGGGGGCAAGCGUUGGUCGGAAUUACUGGGCGUAAAGGGCGCGUAGGCGGCUGGGCAGGUCCGGUGUGAAAUCCCUCUGCUAAACUGAGGAAUUGCGUUGGAAACCGCUUAGCUCGAGUACAGGAGAGGAGGGCGGAAUUCCCGGUGUAGCGGUGAAAUGCGUAGAUAUCGGGAAGAACACCGGUGGCGAAGGCGGCUCUCUGGACUGUAACUGACGCUGAGGCGCGAAAGCGUGGGGAGCGAACG
rnacentral:rRNA from 1 species